rnacentral:lncRNA from 1 species
CUGUGCGUUAGCAUUUUAAAACUUCUGACGUCCAAACUGCCUUCCAGAUCAGUAAUUCAGUAUCUCCUUGGGUGUGACUGGGGAGGGGGACUUUUUACACGGUCACAGGCAGAGAGUCAGGGGGCAGAGAGCCAGCUGAGAGCGAGCCAGAGCCUCCCUCUCCUGCCCCGGCGAACGUGGGUCUCUUCCACCUGCUUCGGAGCUGACCUCACGUUGAACCUUCCCACCGCCUUCUCUGCUUUCUCUGCAGAACGCUCCACUGCCCAGAUCCCGACACGAGUCCUAACAACGCAAUUUAGACGAGCUGGUUUUGCAGACCGGAUGCAAAAGCUGCAAGGGCUGAGGAAAAGCUCAUACAAGCCCUCCUCGCCUUCUCCGGACGGAUUUGGCUUUUGUCAAAGGGAGCAGCCUUUACCUUCACAGCUAGUGUCUUUGCCCUGCCCUGGUUGUAUGAUGGUUUUUGAUGAAUGACCCAAGCAACUCCACCCAAAUGGCCCAGUUCUUUGGUGACGAUUCCUCUCUCCUCCUCUACCUCCUCCACCUGUUAGUCAGCAAACAAUUGAGCUGCGCAAAACACAGGCUGCCUGGGUUGUGAAGUUCACCCGUCUCCCAGGGGCUCCUCCCGAAUCUUCUUAACCGGUAUUUCCUGAAUGAAGUUAAGAUCAUACAGGCCAGGAGCCAAGUAGCUCUGCGGGACAGGGUGGGGUAGAAAGCUUCGGUGAAGCUUUGAAGUAUCUCGGCUACUCAAGAGCCAAUGAUAAUUACUCGUCUCCAUCAGGCUGAAGAACGCAUUUUGGUUAUUUCUAUUUCCUCUCAUUAGCUUGCCCCCUCUUUAUCAGAUGACUCCUAGCCAUGAAGUCCAAGGGAACACCAGAGGGAUAAUGUCUGCAGAGAUUCUAAGACCAGGUAAACUCCACCAGCUGCUCCGGGCUGCAGAGCAUGGCUGAGGCAAACACAAUAGUUGUGCUGAGUUUCACCUUGAACUCACGUAGUCCGCCUUCAGUGGGAGCCUCAAUCCCCCCUUAUAAUUAUGUUAUGUUUUCUUACUUAGCUUGCCCCUCUAUGCUCCACGACAGUGUCUCAGAAACUUCUUCCAGAGCACCAGCUAUCUCCUCUCUACCAUGGGGAUAAUCACAGCAUCUGCCUGGACGGGUUGUUUUGAGUAUUAAAUAAAAUAAUGGGCAUAAGGUUAUAAACA